rnacentral:lncRNA from 1 species
UGCAGGACUUCGUGUGCAGGACUUUGGUGCAGGACUUUGAUGCAUGGUUUUGGGUGCAGGACUUUGGCGCAGGAUUUGGGUGUGGGAUUUUGCUGCAGGGCUUUGGUUGCAGGAUUUUGGCUGCAGCACUUUGGUGCAGAACUGAGUAUGGGGCUUUGGGUGCAGGACUGUGGUGCAGGACUUCGGUGCAGGACUUUGGUGCAGGGCUUUGGCACCUGAUUUUGGCACAGGGCUUUGAAUGCGGCACUUUGGUGCAGGACGUUGGGUGUGGGAUUUUGCUGCAGGGCUUUGGAUGCAGCACUUCGGGUGUGGGAUUUUGGCUGCAGGGUUUUGGGUGUAGGACUUUGGUUGCAGGAUUUUGAUGCAGGGAUUUUGCUGCAGGGCUUUGGUUGCAGGAUUUGGGGUGUGGGAUUUUGCUGCAGGGCUUUGGAUGCAGCACUUCGGGUGUGGGAUUUUGCUGCAGGGGUUUGGAUGCAGGGCUUUGGACGCAGGAUUUUGGGUGCAGGACUUUGACGGAGGAUUUUGGGUGUGGGAUUUUGCUGCAGGGCUUUGGUUGCAGGAUUUUGGAUGCAGGAUUUUGCAUGUGGGACUUCGCUGCAGGGCUUUGGUGCAGGACUUUGGCACCUGCUUUUGGCCCAGGAUUGCAGCGCAGGACUGCAACGCAGCGCUUUGGGUGCAGCGCUUCGGUGCAGAACGGGGUAUGGGAUUUGGGGUGCAGGGCUUUGCUGCAGGGUUUGAGUGUGGGAUUUCGGUGCAGGAUUUGGGCUGCAGGGCUUUGGUGCAGGAUUUGAGUGCAGGGCUUUGGGUGCAGGAGGUUGGCACAAGGCUUUGGCACAGGAUUUGGUGCAGGACUUUGAUUGCAGGAUUUUGGGUGCAGCACUUUGGUGCAGAACUGAGUAUGGGGCUUUGGGUGCAGGACUUCGGUGCAGGGCUUUGGGUGCACGACUUUGGGUGCAGGACUUUGAAUGCGGCACUUUGGUGCAGGACUUUGGGCGUGGGAUUUUGCAUCAGGGCUUUGGGUGCAGGACUUUGGUUGCAGGAUUUCGGUGCAGGAUUUGGGCUGCAGGGCUUUGGAUGCAGGACUUUGUUUGCAGGUCUUUGGUGCAGGGCUUUGGGUGCAGGGCUUUGUGUGCAGGACUUUGGUGCAGGACUUUGGUGCAUGAUUUUGAUGCAGGUCUUAGGAUGCAGGACUUUGGUGCAGGAUUUCGGUGCAGGACUUUG